AGGCAGCAGUGGGGAAUUUUGGACAAUGGGGGCAACCCUGAUCCAGCCAUUCCGCGUGAGUGAAGAAGGCCUUCGGGUUGUAAAGCUCUUUCAGCUGGAAAGAAACGGUACGCACUAACAUAGCGUGCUAAUGACGGUACCGGCAGAAGAAGCACCGGCUAACUACGUGCCAGCAGCCGCGGUAAUACGUAGGGUGCGAGCGUUAAUCGGAAUUACUGGGCGUAAAGCGUGCGCAGGCGGAUUGUUAAGCAAGAUGUGAAAUCCCCGGGCUUAACCUGGGAAUGGCAUUUUGAACUGGCAGUCUAGAGUGUGUCAGAGGGGGGUGGAAUUCCACGUGUAGCAGUGAAAUGCGUAGAGAUGUGGAGGAACACCGAUGGCGAAGGCAGCCCCCUGGGAUAACACUGACGCUCAUGUACGAAAGCGUGGGUAGCAAACAGGAUUAGAUACCCCGGUAGUC
rnacentral:rRNA from 1 species